AUUGAACGCUGGCGGCAGGCCUAACACAUGCAAGUCGAGCGGAUGAAGGGAGAUUGCUCCUGGAUUCAGCGGCGGACGGGUGAGUAAUGCCUAGGAAUCUGCCUGGUAGUGGGGGAUAACGCCCGGAAACGGGCGCUAAUACCGCAUACGUCCUGAGGGAGAAAGUGGGGGAUCUUCGGACCUCACGCUAUCAGAUGAGCCUAGGUCGGAUUAGCUAGUUGGUGGGGUAAAGGCCUACCAAGGCGACGAUCCGUAACUGGUCUGAGAGGAUGAUCAGUCACACUGGAACUGAGACACGGUCCAGACUCCUACGGGAGGCAGCAGUGGGGAAUAUUGGACAAUGGGCGAAAGCCUGAUCCAGCCAUGCCGCGUGUGUGAAGAAGGUCUUCGGAUUGUAAAGCACUUUAAGUUGGGAGGAAGGGCAGUAAGUUAAUACCUUGCUGUUUUGACGUUACCAACAGAAUAAGCACCGGCUAACUUCGUG
rnacentral:rRNA from 1 species